AGAGUUUGAUCCUGGCUCAGGACGAACGCUGGCGGCGUGCCUAACACAUGCAAGUCGAACGGGCGGUAGCAAUACCGUCAGUGGCGGACGGGUGAGUAACGCGUGAGCAACCUACCCAUAACCGCGGGAUAACACUUAGAAAUAGGUGCUAAUACCGCAUGAGACCACGCUCCGGCAUCGGAGAGGGGUUAAAAUUCAGGUGGUUAUGGAUGGGCUCGCGUCCCAUUAGCUAGAUGGCGGGGUAACGGCCCACCAUGGCGACGAUGGGUAGCCGACCUGAGAGGGUGAUCGGCCACAUUGGAACUGAGAAACGGUCCAGACUCCUACGGGAGGCAGCAGUGGGGAAUAUUGGGCAAUGGACGAAAGUCUGACCCAGCAACGCCGCGUGAGGGAAGAAGGUCUUAAUUGAUUGUAAACCUUUGUUGUAGAUGAAAAAGAAUGAUAGUAAUCUACGAGGAAGCCCCGGCAAACUAUGUGCCAGCAGCCGCGGUAAUACAUAGGGGGCGAGCGUUGUCCGGAAUGACUGGGCGUAAAGGGAGCGUAGGCGGUAUGGUAAGUUAUAUGUGAAAGCCCGCGGCUUAACUGCGGAACUGCAUAUAAGACUGCCAAACUUGAGUGUGGGAGGGGAAAGCGGAAUUACUAGUGUAGCGGUGGAAUGCGUAGAUAUUAGUAGGAACACCGGUGGCGAAGGCGGCUUUCUGGACCAUAACUGACGCUGAGGCUCGAAAGCGUGGGGAGCAAACAGGAUUAGAUACCCUGGUAGUCCACGCUGUAAACGAUGAAUACUAGACGCGAGGGGUAUUGACUCCUUUCGUGUCGCAGCUAACGCACUAAGUAUUCCGCCUGGGGAGUACGGCCGCAAGGUUGAAACUCAAAGGAAUUGACGGGGACCCGCACAAGCAGCGGAGCAUGUGGUUUAAUUCGACGCAACGCGAAGAACCUUACCAAGGCUUGACAUCCUUUGACCGCCAUGGAAACAUGGAAUCCCUUCGGGGCAGAGAGACAGGUGGUGCAUGGUUGUCGUCAGCUCGUGUCGUGAGAUGUUCGGUUAAGUCCGGCAACGAGCGCAACCCUUAUGAUAUGUUGCCAAUAUUAAGUUAGGAACUCAUAUCAGACUGCCGUGGAAAACACGGAGGAAGGUGGGGAUGACGUCAAAUCAUCAUGCCCCUUACGCCUUGGGCUACACACGUGCUACAAUGGCCGUUACAAAGAGCAGCGACCCCGCAAGGGCAAGCGAAUCUCACAAAGACGGCCUCAGUUCAGAUUGUGGGCUGCAGCCCGCCCACAUGAAGUAGGAGUUGCUAGUAAUCGCGAAUCAGCAUGUCGCGGUGAAUGCGUUCCCGGGUCUUGUACACACCGCCCGUCACGCCAUGGGAGUCGGGAGUACCCAAAGUCGGUGCGCUAACCGUAAGGAGGCAGCCGCCUAAGGUAAGAUCGAUGACUGGGGUGAAGUCGUAACAAGGUAACCGUA
rnacentral:rRNA from 1 species